rnacentral:lncRNA from 1 species
CAGAUGAGAGCAGUUGGCAGUUAUUUUGCAGGAGGCUUCUCAGGGAUGAAGGCAAGCUGGCCCCUAGCUGAUCAGCUGGUUGGUGAGGACUCUUCACGAAAUAACUCAGCACUCAUGAUCAGCUGUCAAGCUAUAACGGAGUGUUGAGGCAGUCCCUGAAACCACAGCGCCAUUUUGUAGGAACUAAGAAGCCAACCUCAAGGAAUCACUCGCCCCAAGAAGACUUUGUUCUGAUCUGAUGUGUUUCUAGCCUGGUGGAGCCUCAGCUAUCCAAAGGAAGAGCUGUUAAGAUGAUUGGAAUUUUGGUUUUUCCGAUUCACUCUUUUUUCUCUCCAGCCAUCUGCCUUAGACAGCAGGAGAAAAGGAAACUUAGCCUCAGAGGUGGGGUCCUUCGGAAGGACUGACAGUGGGCUAGCUCUCCUGCUGCUGGGAGCCUGAGUGCCUUUGGCUCCUUGUCCAGACCUCAGCUUUACCACGGAGGUUACCUGCUUACCAUCAACAUCGAAACUUGCCUCUUCCCCUGGGUGUAUUCUCCCUCUUUUGUGUACAGUUUGAUUCCUCCAAACUGCUCUCCCUGUGAAGAAAGCCGAUGGAAUUCAGGGAGCCUGGCCAGCCACCCAGGCCUUUAUAAAGGUCCUCGUACCACAGGAUGUAUGGGAGACCCAAUAAAGACUUUUGCAAAAUGC